rnacentral:rRNA from 1 species
GACGAACGCUGGCGGCGUGCUUAACACAUGCAAGUCGAACGGUAAGGCCCUUCGGGGUACACGAGUGGCGAACGGGUGAGUAACACGUGGGUGAUCUGCCCUGCACUUCGGGAUAAGCCUGGGAAACUGGGUCUAAUGCCGGAUAGGACCACUGCCUGCAUGGGUGGUGGUGGAAAGCUUUUGCGGUGUGGGAUGGGCCCGCGGCCUAUCAGCUUGUUGGUGGGGUGAUGGCCUACCAAGGCGACGACGGGUAGCCGGCCUGAGAGGGUGACCGGCCACAAUGGGACUGAGAUACGGCCCAGACUCCUACGGGAGGCAGCAGUGGGGAAUAUUGCACAAUGGGCGCAGGCCUGAUGCAGCGACGCCGCGUGAGGGAUGACGGCCUUCGGGUUGUAAACCUCUUUCAGCAUCGACGAAGCGAAAGUGACGGUAGGUGCAGAAGAAGGACCGGCCAACUACGUGCCAGCAGCCGCCGUAA